GAUGAAGAACGUAGCGAAAUGCGAUAAGUAAUGUGAAUUGCAGAAUUCAGUGAAUCAUCGAAUCUUUGAACGCACAUUGCGCCCCUUGGUAUUCCGAGGGGCAUGCCUGUUCGAGCGUCAUUAUAACCCCUCAAGCUUAGCUUGGUGUUGGGGCUUGCUGUAAUAGAGCAGCCCUUAAAAUCAGUGGCGGUGCCAUUAGGCUCUAAGCGUAGUAAUUCUUCUCGCUAUAGGGUUCUGGUGGAUGCUUGCCAUUAACCUCUAAUUUUCUAUGGUUGACCUCGGAUCAGGUAGGGAUACCCGCUGAACUUAAGCAUAUCAAUAAGCGGAGGA
rnacentral:misc_RNA from 1 species